rnacentral:lncRNA from 1 species
CUGGGUUUCACUGUGUGUUUGUGGGUGAUUGUUCCUCUGUAUUUGCACCAGAUAGGACUGUUUCGGUUUUCACGUUCUCAUUAUUUUGGUAGUUUUUCAUGUAUAGGUUUUCCUUUAUUAAAUUAACAUGAAUCAUCACAAUGCUGCAUUUUGGUCCGACUCUCCUUCACCACAAGAGAACCGUUACAGAAUCACCCACCUUAACAGGACCAAGCGGCAUGGUAACAGGCAACAACAGCAGCAGGAGCAGCGUGACAAGAAUUUCUGGACUUGGGAGGAAAUCCUCGACGGGAGAGGACCCUGGGCUAAACCAGGGGAGUGUAGCCGCCCCAAGGUGCAGCAAGAGAAGGAAUGGACAUGGGAGGACGAACUGGACGGUGAAGGACCCUGGGCUCAGCCUGGAGAAUAUCGCCGCCCCAARGAAGCACUGGAGGCGGCGAAAGCUGAGAGGCGCAGGUAUGAGGAAGCAGCACGGCGAAACGGAUGGAAGCCCGAGAGUCAGCCCCAAAAAUUUCUUGGGGGGCUCACAGGGAGCAUGGCGAUGCUAGGUAGGAGACCUGCGCCAACUUCCUGUGGUUACCGGGGGGCUAGAGAGACCGGGCAGGCACCGUGUUAUGCAGUGGUGCGCACGGUGUCCCCAGUGGGGGUGCAUAGCCCGGUGCGGUAUAUUCCAGCUCCGCGUGUCGGCCGGGCUAGAUUGAGCGUCGAGCCAAAUGCCAUGAAGCCGGCUCUACGCAUCUGGUCCCCAGUGCGUCUCCUUGGGCCGGCUUACAUGGCACCAGCCUUGCGCACGGUGUCCCCGGUUCGCCUGCAUAGCCCAGUGUGGGCUAUUCCACCUUGCCGCACUGGCAGAGCGACUGGGAGUAUUCAACCAGGUAAGGUUGGGCAGGCUCGGUGCUCAAGAGCUCCAGUGCGCCUGCACGGUCCGGUCUAUCCAGGACCACCUCCACACCCCAGCCCUCCGGUAGCAGCUCCCCGCACCAGGCUUCCUGUGCGUGUCCUCAGCCCAGUACCACCAGUGCCAGAACCACGCAUCAGGCCUACAGUGCGCCUCGCCUCUCCAGCGCUGCCAGAGCCUUCCUCCUCUCCUGCGCUGCUGGAGUCUCCCGCCUGUUUAGCGCUGCCAGAGCCUUCCGCCUCUACAGCGUUGCCAGAGUCUCCUGCCUGUUUGGAGCAGCCAGAGCUGCCAGUCGGCAUGGAGCAGCCAGA